rnacentral:rRNA from 1 species
AUGCAAGUGGUAGGAAGGCCGAAAGGUGACCGACCCUUCGGGGAGCUUGCACAGGUGCUGCAUGGCUGUCGUCAGCUCGUGUCGUGAGAUGUUCGGUUAAGUCCGCUAACGAGCGCAACCCUCGCUGUGUGUUAUAUGUGUCACACGGGACUGCCGGUCUUAAGCCGGAGGAAGGUGGGGAUGAUGUCAAGUCAGCAUGGCCUUUAUAUCCUGGGCUACACACACGCUACAAUGGCCAACACAAUAGGUUGCUAAGCCGCGAGGUGGCGCCAAUCCAUAAAGUUGGUCUCAGUUCAGAUUGUAGGCUGCAACCCGCCUGCAUGAAGAUGGAGUUGCUAGUAACCGCAGGUCAGCUAUACUGCGGUGAAUACGUUCCCGGGGCUU